rnacentral:lncRNA from 1 species
UUACGGAUCGCUAUAUAAGGGAGCUUAACACAAUCAAAGAGGACACACACAAUCAAUCAUACAAAAACAAUUACAAGUCCUCGAGCAUCCUCGAAACCCUAAGUUCUAAGUUCACUUCGCCUUAGUUCUCAGACUCCCUCCUGAUUCGCUUUUUUUCCCUAUUUGUUGCUCUGCUCACCCUAGCAGUGGGUAUCGAUUCACAGGUGACAAGAGAUCUUACUUGUAAUCCCUCAUCCGUGAGGUGGCACCGGUAACCGUCUCUUCGCUUGUUUAGAAGUCUAGCCGCAGCGCAUUCCUUUCCUCGCCCGCGAGGUGGCAUGCCCCGCAAAUCUCAUUUUCUUUACUUUUGAGUCACCGGAGUUCCGACUCUGCCCCUGCUGAGAUACGUGGCCAAAACAGCUCGUAUUCUUCAUGCUUGGAAUUUGGGACCUUGAUGUCUCUAGGAAAGCCAUUACCGUAUACUGUUGUUGUCGGACCUCGCUUUUUCCAUCGCGCACUACUGAAGGGAAAGGAAGAUAAAGAUGAAGAUUGUAAACCAUUGACGUCAAUUAUAGUCGACAGAUAUUUAGGAGAUUAAGACUAUACUUGUAGAGUGGACUCUUUACGACAUUACCUCAUUCCAAGUCUAAAUAUAGAGAGACUAAGGAAAUAGACAAGCUAGGUCUGAUUAAGGAGAUAAGACCCGUACGUCAAAGUGCUUAACAGCUCAUGAUCAUACAUGCAGAUCUUAUCAUUUCAUUUUUUAUACAUAAUCAUUCUCAAAAGAAAAGUAUUUUAUACAUAAUCCUGGAUUAUACUGGAUGCAUUUUAUUUAGAAUACAGAAAGCCGUCGUAUAAAACGUACCUUUAUAUUAAGAAAUCUCAGGCCAACUUCCACCCCACUACUCCUCCUCCCUCCAAUUGGUCCCUUUAAACUUGGUUUAACUAUAGACAAAGCAAGCUAUUUAAGCACUAUCACCUUGUUUAGUGGGACAAGAAGGGAAGGAUCACAACCAAAGAGAGCGACUAGCCAAGGAGAGAAUCGAUUCCAUCAUUUUAAUGCAUAAAAAUACUGCAUUAUUGUCCAGAAACACUUGUUAAAUACCCCAUUUGAUUAUAUACGUGGAUGAAUGAUGAAAUCCAUAAACCCUGGG